rnacentral:rRNA from 1 species
UACAGAGGGGGCAAGCGUUGUUCGGAAUCAUUGGGCGUAAAGCGCGUGUAGGCGGCCCGGUAAGUCCGCUGUGAAAGUCGGGGGCUCAACCCUCGGAUGCCGGUGGAUACUGUCGGGCUAGAGUGCGGAAGAGGCGAGUGGAAUUCCUGGUGUAGCGGUGAAAUGCGCAGAUAUCAGGAGGAACACCAAUUGCGAAGGCAGCUCGCUGGGACGUGACUGACGCUGAGACGCGAAAGCGUGGGGAGCAAACAGG